GGCUCCGUAGCUUGGAGGAAAGAAGCGCCCGUGUAUCGAAUUGGGAGUCGUGGGUUCGAUUCCCACCGGAGCAC
rnacentral:tRNA from 1 species